rnacentral:tRNA from 1 species
AUCAAGUUAGAGCUUGCGAGAAAGCACUUCAUUUACACUGAGGUAUGACUGUGCAAUUCAGUAUAACUUGAU